rnacentral:rRNA from 1 species
UGAGCAACCUGCCCCUGACUCUGGGAUAAACCCCGGGAAACCGGAGCUAAUACCGGAUACGACACGCGAAGGCAUCUUCUGCGUGUAGAAAGAUUUAUCGGUCAGGGGUGGGCUCGCGGCCUAUCAGCUUGUUGGUGGGGUAAUGGCCCACCAAGGCGACGACGGGUAGCCGGCCUGAGAGGGCGACCGGCCACACUGGGACUGAGACACGGCCCAGACUCCUACGGAAGGCA